GAUGAACGCUGGCGGCGUGCUUAACACAUGCAAGUCGAACGAUGAAGCCCAGCUUGCUGGGUGGAUUAGUGGCGAACGGGUGAGUAACACGUGAGUAACCUGCCCUUGACUCUGGGAUAAGCGCUGGAAACGGCGUCUAAUACCGGAUACGAGCUUCCACCGCAUGGUGAGUUGCUGGAAAGAAUUUCGGUCAAGGAUGGACUCGCGGCCUAUCAGGUAGUUGGUGAGGUAACGGCUCACCAAGCCGACGACGGGUAGCCGGCCUGAGAGGGUGACCGGCCACACUGGGACUGAGACACGGCCCAGACUCCUACGGGAGGCAGCAGUGGGGAAUAUUGCACAAUGGGCGCAAGCCUGAUGCAGCAACGCCGCGUGAGGGACGAAGGCCUUCGGGUCGUAAACCUCUUUUAGCAGGGAAGAAGCGAAAGUGACGGCACCUGCAGAAAAAGCACCGGCUAACUACGUG
rnacentral:rRNA from 1 species